UACGUAGGGAGCAAGCGUUGUUCGGAUUUAUUGGGCGUAAAGAGCGUGUAGGCGGCCAUACAGGUCAGCUGUGAAAACUCGAGGCUCAACCUCGAGACGUCGGUUGAAACCGUAUGGCUAGAGUCCGGAAGAGGAGAGUGGAAUUCCCGGUGUAGCGGUGAAAUGCGCAGAUAUCGGGAAGAACACCCGUGGCGAAGGCGGCUCUCUGGGACGGUACUGACGCUGAGACGCGAAGGCGUGGGGAGCGAACAGG
rnacentral:rRNA from 1 species